CUACGGGCGGCACCAGUGGGGAAUAUUGCGCAAUGGGCGAAAGCCUGACGCAGCCAUGCCGCGUGUGUGAAGAAGGCCUUCGGGUUGUAAAGCACUUUCAAUUGGGAGGAAGGGUUUAACGUUAAUAGCGUUGAAUCUUGACGUUACCUUUAGAAGAAGCACCGGCUAACUCCGUGCCAGCAGCCGCGGUAAUACGGAGGGUGCGAGCGUUAAUCGGAAUUACUGGGCGUAAAGCGCGCGUAGGCGGUUUGUUAAGUCAGAUGUGAAAUCCCCGGGCUCAACCUGGGAACUGCACCUGAUACUGGCCGGCUUGAGUGCGGGAGAGGGGGGUAGAAUUCCAGGUGUAGCGGUGAAAUGCGUAGAUAUAUGGAGGAAGACCGGUGGCGAAGGCGGCCUCCUGGCUCGACACUGACGCUGAGGUGCGAAAGCGUGGGUAGCAAACAGGAUUAGAUACCCUCGUAGUC
rnacentral:rRNA from 1 species